GUUGUAUGGUUAAGUGACUAAGCGUACACGGUGGAUGCCUUGGCAGUCAGAGGCGAUGAAAGACGUAGUAACUUGCGAUAAGCCCAGAUUAGGUAGUAACAACCAUUUGAGUCUGGGAUUUCUGAAUGGGGAAACCCACGUGCAUAAGCACGUAUCCUUACCUGAAUACAUAGGGUAAGGAGGCGAACCGGGGGAACUGAAACAUCUAAGUACCCCGAGGAAAAGAAAUCAACCGAGAUUCCGAAAGUAGCGGCGAGCGAAAUUGGACUAGCCCUUAAGCUUUACACGCGUUAGACGAACGGUCUGGAAAGUCCGACGAUACAGGGUGAUAGUCCCGUAGUUGACGACGUGUGUUCAGUGAAAUCGAGUAGGGCGGGACACGUGAUAUCCUGUCUGAAUAUGGGGGGACCAUCCUCCAAGGCUAAAUACUACUGACUGACCGAUAGUGAACCAGUACCGUGAGGGAAAGGCGAAAAGAACCCCUGUGAGGGGAGUGAAAUAGAACCUGAAACCGUGUACGUACAAGCAGUAGGAGCAGGCUUUGUCCUGUGACUGCGUACCUUUUGUAUAAUGGGUCAGCGACUUAUAUUCAGUGGCAAGGUUAACCAUCUAGGGGAGCCGUAGGGAAACCGAGUCUUAACUGGGCGUUCAGUCUCUGGAUAUAGACCCGAAACCAGGUGAUCUAGCCAUGGGCAGGUUGAAGGUUGAGUAACAUCAACUGGAGGACCGAACCGACUAAUGUUGAAAAAUUAGCGGAUGACUUGUGGCUAGGGGUGAAAGGCCAAUCAAACCUGGAGAUAGCUGGUUCUCCCCGAAAGCUAUUUAGGUAGCGCCUCGGACGAAUACUACUGGGGGUAGAGCACUGUUAAGGCUAGGGGGUCAUCCCGACUUACCAACCCUUUGCAAACUCCGAAUACCAGUAAGUACUAUCCGGGAGACACACGGCGGGUGCUAACGUCCGUCGUGGAGAGGGAAACAACCCAGACCGCCAGCUAAGGUCCCAAAUUACUACUAAGUGGGAAACGAUGUGGGAAGGCUCAGACAGCCAGGAUGUUGGCUUAGAAGCAGCCAUCAUUUAAAGAAAGCGUAAUAGCUCACUGGUCGAGUCGGCCUGCGCGGAAGAUGUAACGGGGCUAAGUAGUAAACCGAAGCUGCGGCAAUGUGCUUUUGCACAUUGGGUAGGGGAGCGUUCUGUAAGCGGUUGAAGGUGUGUGGUAACGCAUGCUGGACGUAUCAGAAGUGCGAAUGCUGACAUGAGUAACGAUAAAGGGGGUGAAAAACCUCCUCGCCGGAAGACCAAGGGUUCCUGUCCAACGUUAAUCGGGGCAGGGUAAGUCGACCCCUAAGGCGAGGCCGAAAGGCGUAGUCGAUGGGAAACGGGUUAAUAUUCCCGUACUUCUUACAAUUGCGAUGGGGGGACGGAGAAGGCUAGGUGGGCCUGGCGACGGUUGUCCAGGUUCAAGUGCGUAGGCUUAAGAGUUAGGUAAAUCCGGCUCUUUUUAAGGCUGAGACACGACGUCGAGCAUCUACGGAUGUGAAGUCAUUGAUGCCAUGCUUCCAGGAAAAGCCUCUAAGCUUCAGAUUGUAAGGAAUCGUACCCCAAACCGACACAGGUGGUCGGGUAGAGAAUACCAAGGCGCUUGAGAGAACUCGGGUGAAGGAACUAGGCAAAAUGGUACCGUAACUUCGGGAGAAGGUACGCUCUCGACGGUGAAGUCCCUCGCGGAUGGAGCUAUUGAGAGUCGCAGAUACCAGGUGGCUGCAACUGUUUAUUAAAAACACAGCACUGUGCAAAAUCGUAAGAUGACGUAUACGGUGUGACGCCUGCCCGGUGCCGGAAGGUUAAUUGAUGGGGUUAGACUUCGGUCGAAGCUCUUGAUCGAAGCCCCGGUAAACGGCGGCCGUAACUAUAACGGUCCUAAGGUAGCGAAAUUCCUUGUCGGGUAAGUUCCGACCUGCACGAAUGGCGUAAUGAUGGCCACGCUGUCUCCACCCGAGACUCAGUGAAAUUGAAAUCGCUGUGAAGAUGCAGUGUACCCGCGGCUAGACGGAAAGACCCCGUGAACCUUUACUACAGCUUGGCACUGAACAUUGACCCUACAUGUGUAGGAUAGGUGGGAGGCUUUGAAGCACGUACGCCAGUAUGUGUGGAGCCGUCCUUGAAAUACCACCCUUGUAGUGUUGAUGUUCUAACGUCGACCCCUAAUCGGGGUUGCGGACAGUGCCUGGUGGGUAGUUUGACUGGGGCGGUCUCCUCCCAAAGAGUAACGGAGGAGCACGAAGGUGGGCUAAUCACGGUUGGACAUCGUGAGGUUAGUGCAAUGGCAUAAGCCCGCUUGACUGCGAGAAUGACAAUUCGAGCAGGUGCGAAAGCAGGUCAUAGUGAUCCGGUGGUUCUGAAUGGAAGGGCCAUCGCUCAACGGAUAAAAGGUACUCCGGGGAUAACAGGCUGAUACCGCCCAAGAGUUCAUAUCGACGGCGGUGUUUGGCACCUCGAUGUCGGCUCAUCACAUCCUGGGGCUGAAGUCGGUCCCAAGGGUAUGGCUGUUCGCCAUUUAAAGUGGUACGCGAGCUGGGUUUAGAACGUCGUGAGACAGUUCGGUCCCUAUCUGCCGUGGGCGUUGGAAGAUUGAAGGGGGCUGCUCCUAGUACGAGAGGACCGGAGUGGACGAACCUCUGGUGUUCGGGUUGUGUCGCCAGACGCAUUGCCCGGUAGCUAAGUUCGGAAUCGAUAACCGCUGAAAGCAUCUAAGCGGGAAGCGAGCCCUGAGAUGAGUCUUCCCUGAUACUUUAAGUAUCCUAAAGGGUUGUCGGAGACUACGACGUUGAUAGGUCAGGUGUGUAAGUGCUGUGAGGCAUUGAGCUAACUGAUACUAAUUGCCCGUGAGGCUUAACCAUACAACACCCAAGGGGUUU
rnacentral:rRNA from 1 species